rnacentral:rRNA from 1 species
UUUGGUAACAAUGGCGGAGGGGUUCCACGCGUACCCAUCCCGAACACGACCGUUAAGCCCUCCAGCGCCGAUGGUACUUGGACCGCAGGGUCCUGGGAGAGUAGGACGUUGCCAAGC